UACGAAGGGGGCUAGCGUUGCUCGGAAUUACUGGGCGUAAAGCGCACGUAGGCGGCUCUUUAAGUCGGGGGUGAAAUCCUGGAGCUCAACUCCAGAACUGCCUUCGAUACUGUAGAGCUUGAGUUCGGGAGAGGUGAGUGGAACUGCGAGUGUAGAGGUGAAAUUCGUAGAUAUUCGCAAGAACACCAGUGGCGAAGGCGGCUCACUGGCCCGAUACUGACGCUGAGGCACGAAAGCGUGGGGAGCGAACAGG
rnacentral:rRNA from 1 species